CCAGGUCCCAUUGGGCCCAUCCCUGGUCCUCGUGGAGGAUUCAUCCUUGGGUUCAUGGGAUUCAUGCCUGGAGGAGCUAGCAAUAAAAAUAAUUUUUGAUGCAUUUUUCUAGAGACACAGAAUAUUAAAAAACUCGAAUCAUGCUUUGCCGAAGUCAAGUGUAAUACUUAAGCAAGUGGACGGCAUGCUAAAUUGGUAAUUUGCAUCUACACAAAUUAAUAAAGUAACAAAGCUCAUGCGAAGGAUGAAAAAACAGCACUACUAAAUAAUUUUUACAAACGUUUGAGCUCUUAAUUUAACAACGAAAAGAUAAAACAAUGCUAUAUAUGCCAGAUACAUGACAAACAAGACAAUCAUUCAAAUGAUGCCUAAUAAAAAGGAUUGUGAUAUCAUACAGCAAUAAUUUUAAUGAAUGAAUUCUUUUCAUAUUUUUCUUUUCUGAAGUCGCAUGAAACUUUCUUUUUUAAAUGUUUUGAAUGGGAGAAAGUAACUACGUUGCAGUGCAUUAAUAUUGUAUGUUAAGUUUAUGCUACAAUGAUUGACAAUGACAAUAAACAGACAAAUUUUGUUAGCCACAAAAUCAUUGCACAUAAAUGCAAUGAAAACGGAUAAACUAUAUGUUAAAAUGAUGUUAAAACUUGCAACUAUCUAUAUCUCUGUUAAUGUCUCACGUAUAAAAAUGUAGAAUCUUUCCAAGUAUGAACAUUUUUUAUAAAUACAGAAAACUGUUCUCACAGCAAAGUUGAAUACAUUGUUUUUAAUAUAUAUAAUAAAUUACCAUUGACAUGUUUAAUGCAAGAUCGGGUGAGCAAGUGUCGCACAAAAGAAACGAAGCUAGUGCGUUUAUUUGUAAAAUGUGAGAACAGAAACUUCAAAACGAGCAGGAGAAAAAAAUAAAAGUUAGGCUUGACUAAGUCAUGUGAGUGUGAUUUGGUUGCUGGGUUGCUUCCUACCUUGCCACCCUACAAAUUCUCCAGCUUCGCCUGAGGAACACAAGAGCACACAUUAGUACGGCAGCCGAUAAACU